CAAUUAUUACUUAAUAUACACAUGCAAGUCUCCGCACCCCUGUGAAAACGCCCUUAAAUCCCCACUAGGGAUAAGGAGCUGGUAUCAGGCACAAUAUUUAGCCCAAAACACCUAGCUAUGCCACACCCACACGGGAAUUCAGCAGUGAUUAACAUUGAAAAUAAGCGACAGCUUGACUCAGUUAAAGUAAAAAGAGCCGGCAAAUCUGGUGCCAGCCGCCGCGGUUACACCACGUGGCUCAAAUUGACCCCCCCUUCGGCGUAAAGCGUGAUUAAAGUUUUUACUAAAUUAUAGCUGAACUAAAACUAAGCUGUGACACGCUUGUAUUUAGGAAAAUCAAAAACGAAAGUUACUGUAAUUAAAACAACUUGAACCCACGACAGUUGAGACACAAACUGGGAUUAGAUACCCCACUAUGCUCAACCGUAAACUUUAAAUUACACCAAUAUCGCCCGGGAACUACGAGCAAAGCUUAAAACCCAAAGGACUUGACGGUACCCCACAUCCCCCUAGAGGAGCCUGUCCUGUAAUCGACAACCCCCGUUCAACCUCACCAUUUUUAGCCUAUCAGCCUGUAUACCUCCGUCGUCAGCUUACCACGUGAGCGACCCUAAGUGAGCCUAAUGCCCACACGCCAACACGUCAGGUCAAGGUGCAGCAAAUAAAAUGGGAAGAGAUGGGCUACACUCUCUACUGUAGAAAAUACGAAAGACUAUUUAUGAAACCUAGUCAGAAGGCGGAUUUAGUAGUAAAAAGAGACAAGAGCGCUCUUUUUAACACGGCACUGGGGUGUGUACACACCGCCCGUCACCCUCUUCAAAGCUAACAGAAAGUCCAUAACACACCUAAGCACAAUAGAAGAGGCAAGUCGUAACAUGGUAAGUAUACCGGAAGGUGUGCUUGGAAACAAAAUAUAGCUUAACCAAAGCAUCUCGCUUACACCGAGAAAAUAUCUGUUAAACCCGGAUUAUUUUGAGCUAAUAAUCUAGCCCCCAAUAUCAAAUGAAACCAUUGACUUUAUAAUAUAAACUAAAACAUUUUAUAAACUUAGUAAAGGCGAUUAAAAAAUUGAUAGGAGC
rnacentral:ncRNA from 1 species